rnacentral:rRNA from 1 species
GAUGAACGCUGGCGGCGUGCCUAAUACAUGCAAGUCGAGCGAACAGACGAGGAGCUUGCUCCUCUGACGUUAGCGGCGGACGGGUGAGUAACACGUGGAUAACCUACCUAUAAGACUGGGAUAACUUCGGGAAACCGGAGCUAAUACCGGAUAAUAUAUUGAACCGCAUGGUUCAAUAGUGAAAGACGGUUUUGCUGUCACUUAUAGAUGGAUCCGCGCCGCAUUAGCUAGUUGGUAAGGUAACGGCUUACCAAGGCAACGAUGCGUAGCCGACCUGAGAGGGUGAUCGGCCACACUGGAACUGAGACACGGUCCAGACUCCUACGGGAGGCAGCAGUAGGGAAUCUUCCGCAAUGGGCGAAAGCCUGACGGAGCAACGCCGCGUGAGUGAUGAAGGCCUUCGGGUUGUAAACCGCUUUUGGCAGGAACGAAAAAGUGUGCGCUAAUACAGGCAGCUAUUGACGGUACCUGCAGAAUAAGCACCGGCUAACUACGUG